UACGGGGGGGAGCAAGCGUUGUCCGGAAUCAUUGGGCGUAAAGAGCGUGUAGGCGGCUCGAUAAGUCUGCUGUGAAAGUCCAGGGCUCAACCCUGGAAGGCCGGUGGAAACUGUCGGGCUAGAGUCCGGAAGAGGCGAGUGGAAUUCCCGGUGUAGCGGUGAAAUGCGCAGAUAUCGGGAGGAACACCAAUGGCGAAGGCAGCUUGCUGGGACGGUACUGACGCUGAGGCGCGAAAGCGUGGGGAGCAAACAGG
rnacentral:rRNA from 1 species